GUAGUAUGGUAGUUUUAAUGAAAUUGUGCCUUCUCUAUUUUUUAUCAUGUCUUAAAAGCAAGCUUUGUUUUAUGGAAUUUUUGAUACUGAAUUUCAGUGUUUGUUUUUGUUGUAUUUUUGGUGUUUUAUUUUUGUGACAUAUACUCAAAAAGUUUCUUAUUAUCCAGAAAAGGAUUUAAAGCAAAAUAUAUAUUUUAGAUGAUAUAUCACUAAGAAGGACAUACCAUAUUUGAUGGCCUCCUAGGCUAUACUUUUGUAAAAUAAAUUACCACUAAAAUAAUGUUUUAAUUCCUCCACUUACCUGUAUAACUUUAUGUUAUUACUGGUAAUUAUAAGCAAUUUAUUGCUUCCACAUUCGAUAUAAACAUACUGUAGGUGAUUGUUCACCAAUAGAUGGCAGCACACGUUUUGUAAACAUAAUAUCGUUUGAGCGAGUUUUGAGUCUAUAUUGAGGGCAUUGGAUGCAGGGAGAUUUUUAAAGCCAUUUUUGGGUAAAAAAGGUGCGUCUUAUAGGCCAUCAAAUAUGGUAUAUAUAUAUAUAUAUAUAUAUAUGUGUGUAUAAUAAGUGUUUGACUCAGUUUCACAUGACUUAAGUUUCAUUAAAUGUUUGGAGGUAGAAUGAAAGGUUUGAAAGAAAUUCGAUUGGGCUUUUAGAUGUUUAAGCUUCUAUUGGUCAGCUCAGAUCAAUGUGGUUUGAAUACUGUUAUUUUCCUUAUUUUGAAGUCCACUUCUUCAGACAGGAUAUUGGCAGGGUGUUGACACCCCUUUGGCUGUAUGCCAUAAUACAGUAUACUCAGUGUCAUCAAUUUCUUGGAUUAGGUACUGUACACAGAGAGGUAAUGCAGGUCAAUGGAGUAUGUGUUACUUCUCACAGAAGCAGAGUUGGUAAUUGUGCAUCCCAGGUGAAUAAGGAAGGGCCUUGUAAAGAAUACUUCAGUUGAUGUUGGGGAUGUUAUUUCAAUGGUCAUACAAUCUUUGAAUGAAGUGAAACAGGGAGAUUGAGUUUUUCCCUAUCACUAUAUCUGAAGUAGUGCAUGUUCUGUGUAUACCUUUUUAAAAAAAUGUAUUUACUGUCAUAUCUGUGUAUUGUGAUCCAUCAGAUGGUGUAAGGAUGGCUUUAUUGACUACAACCUUUGAGAGGCAGGAUCACACCUGUGAGAAGUGGUAGGAUUUCUGAAGUUACAGGUUGGGGUGUGGUUUGAAGGCAGUGUAGGUGUAUGUUUGUGUCUAUUGUAGCAUAUGAUAUUUGAAGCAAUAUUGUUGAAAUGUGGGUAACUCAUUAUGAUUCAUAUCAACAUCUUAACUUUAUGAGUACCCAAUAAAAGGAACUAAUGUUCCUGAUUAUACUGUACCACAGGCCACUGUCAAAGUGGUGCCUGUCUUAUGCCAACAUCCUGUUCAGAUAUUUAAACUUAAAAGCAAGUAAAAUAACUAGUUACUUUGAUAGCGUAGAUACCAUAUGCCCUAAGCUGAUCAAUAGAGGCCUAAAGCACCUAGAAGCCAGAUUUAAUUUUUUUCAAACCCUUUACACUACCUUUGAACAUCUGAUGAUAAGGACAGUUCUUACUUGUCCACAAAAAUUCAAAUCAUGUGGAGCUGACUCAAACAGUUAUUAUAUAUAUGAAUAUUCAAGAAAAUAUGUUAAGUGCUACAUUCUUCCACUUGUAAACUCAUUCAUUAUAUAUAUAUAUAUAUAUAUAUAUAUAUAGGCAAAUAAGAAAAUGGAGAGGAUAAUCAAUCAGCCUGUAAACAUUCAUUUGGAUCUAUUUAUUAAUUAAUUACAAUCAUAUGUAUAAAUAAUUAAAAUAAAUAAACAAAUAAACAAGUAAAUAAAUAAAUAAGAAUAAAUAAAUGAGUGAGAAUAAAUGAGUGAAAAAAUACUAAACUCUUACAGUUGUUUCUAUUUUGUGUGUGUCUAACUUGCCAAGGUUUCCACAUCAUACCAGUAAUAUGCAGGAAUUGUACAAAGGUUGAACAAACAUUGGACAGGGGUUGAACAAUAAUUUAGCCCCAAAGCUUUAUCAGAGAGACCAUAAUGUUAGGAAUCUAACAUGUGAGGAAGAAAGAAAAUAAUAAAAUAGAAUAAUAAAAUAAUAAAAAUAGUAAGGAAUGCGACAACAACAGAGAAAAGGGAAAGAACGGAACACUCAUGAAAAUGUAUGUUUGAAUGUAUGUGUGUGUGUGUGUGUUUGUGUUUGUUCGUGUAAGUAAUAAUGUAUAUAGAGAUAAAGAGAUUUAUAGAAAGAAGUUAUUGUCUAGGUCAAAUUCCUUCUUUCAAUGCAUGAAGGAACAAUGACACUUGCAGUUAAAGACACACACACACACACACACUGCUAUUUCUAAACUUAACUAUUUCAGUGAAACAUUGAAAACUGGUCUUACUUUAUGAAACAAAUUAUUCAACGCCAUGAAUGUGUGGAAAUUGAGAUUGCAAAUCCGGCAAAUACUUAACCAAAACAACAUCAAUUGGAAACUUGUUUGCCGUGCUCACAUUUUCACUUCUCCCUCCCCUUCCAUUUUAAAUAUAUCAAUCUCUUAUUGUCAUAUGUGUUGUGAUUUUGUGACAGAUGAGCAGAAUUUGUAAAGACAAAAAACAAAAAAAUUAAAGAAAAAAUCCCCAAAAUAAAAAAUGAAAAAUCUGUGAAGUGUGUAAAUAAAAAUUGAAAUGCUGAACAUGAAAUACAUUAAAAAAAAAUAAGCAGUCUAUCAAAUCAUGGAAAAAAUCCAAAUGGAGGAAGAAAAAUGGAAUAAUAAAAAAAAAGCAGCCAUCAAACAUUAUUAUGAAGAUAGAGGGAUAAAUGAAAAAAUGGGGGGGGGGGAUUUAUAUUGAGAGACAAUGAAAAAUGGGAACUGCAAGGGAAAACAUGAAUAAAAAGGUGUUUAUGAAUUAGCAGUUGUCAGAUACAGUGAAAUCUGGUGGAAAAAUCAUGUAACAACGAAAAAAAAAAAAAAAAUUCUUCAAAAUGG